ensembl:lncRNA LINC01370 long intergenic non-protein coding RNA 1370
AUCAUUUAGCUCGCACUUAUAAAUGACAACAUGCAGUAUUUGGUUUUCUGUUCCUGCGUUAGUUUGCUAAGGAUAAUGGCCAUUAUCUUAGCCAUUUGAAAAUAAUGAUUUAACCUCUCUCACCUUCAUUGUCAUUUUAGAAGAAACUACCAUUUGGUGUCCUGCUGAGACAAGAAAAUAUUUUCACAACUCAAGACAAGUUAAAUAUCCACUUAUGGGAACAGUGCUGAAGGCCUGGACUAGGAUGGUAGCAAUGGAGACAGACUAAAGAAAGAGAUGCAAUCAUUCCCUUGCAUAUGGUCCGUAUGAAGACGGGAUCAUUACAGGAAAGGCCUAGUAGAGCUGCCAACUGACUGCAGACACAUGAGUCAAUCCAGCUAAUGCCACAUGGAGCAGAGACAAGCCGCCCAGCUGAGCCCAGUCCAGAUGACAGAAUCAUGAGCAAAUAAGGUUCCAUAUGGAGAGGACUGAUGAAGCCAGCAUUAGGCGUGAUGGGGACGUGCAUAAAUGUGUAUGUUAUCCACUGAGACACAGAUUCUGAAGCACCAGAACAUUAAAGGCACUUCUACUUGUUUCUUCUACCCAGCUGAAAGGACAGAAAGCUUCUUCCACAGAGCCAGGACAGUCCAGGGGAACGUAGUCCUUCGACUGAAAGCUAUGCUUCCUAUUUUCUAACAAAGAGGCUAGGUCAUGUUGACCACCCAGUUUUGGCCUGCCUGGCUUGCUUUUUAUUCCAGCCUGGAGGACUUUCAGGGUUGAAUAUCCACUCAAGCCAAAUCCCAAGAAGCAUAACCUGCUAUUAGACUCUUGUCACUUAUCGGGUGAGGGGCUGUGCGGCUGUUCCAGUGCUUCCCCACUUGGGUCUUGUGACAUACCCUGGGGCCAAGCCAAGCCCUGGAGGUUAGCUUCUACAGUCUGUCCUUAAAGAGAGCUCAGGGAUGUCUGGACAGGACCUGGAGACAGUGCCCUGGGCCAGAGACCUCUGAUCUCUAGGCCAGCAGAGUCACCAUGCAGACAGAUUUAUGAGCCUUAGGCAAAACAGCUGGCAUUCCUGUGGCCAUCUUUCUACCCCUUCCUUUCCACAUGACCAUAUCCUUGGCCAGAUCUUCAUGUCCUUAGAUGGCUGUUGCCUUUGGGUAAAUUGGCAAUUAAGAUAAAUGAGCAUAUUUAUCAUGGCCUUGUGGUUACCCCUCCUGAAGCUCUCAGGGUGGCAAGCUGCCUGACCCUCCUACUAUGAACUUAGUAACUUUAAAACAGAGAGUAUCUUUUCUUGCCCAGCUGAAAUUUCCUCCCCAGGCGACCUACUUUUAGGAUUAAUAUGCGGGAAAGUCUGCAGUUUUGUUUUCAGUGAGGGUAGUUGUGUUUUCAAGGAAAGAGGUAGCGCCUUACAGUCAGAUUAGCCAGCUUUAUUUCUUUCAUCAACCCUUUACUGGCUUUCUAAAUUUUUUCAAGUAACUUCACCUCUCUGAGUUUCAUUUACCUCAUUACCUUCAUCAGGUAAGAUGACAUAUGAAAAGCCCUUCUCAAGCAACUGCAAAGUUCCAAUUAAUAGAAGAAAUUGUAAUGACUAUCUGUGUUUGAAGCGGGGCCAUUUUUCUUAUUUGGAAUUUUCACGUAUUAAAAAUAUGGAUCCUUUACACCUGUA